rnacentral:rRNA from 1 species
CCUACGGGGUGCUGCAGUAGGGAAUAUUGCUCAAUGGGGGAAACCCUGAAGCAGCAACGCCGCGUGGAGGAUGAAGGUUUUCGGAUUGUAAACUCCUUUUGUUAGAGAAGAUAAUGACGGUAUCUAACGAAAAAGCAUCGGCUAACUCCGUGCCAGCAGCCACGGUAAUACGGAGGAUGCGAGCGUUAUACGGAUUUAUGGGGUUUAAAGGGUGCGUAGGCGGUCCGUUAAGUCAGCGGUAAAAUUGCGGGGCUCAACCCCGUCGAGCCGUUGAAACUGGCAGGCUUGAGUUGGCGAGAAGUACGCGGAAUGCGCGGUGUAGCGGUGAAAUGCAUAGAUAUCGCGCAGAACUCCGAUUGCGAAGGCAGCGUACCGGCGCCAAACUGACGCUGAGGCACGAAAGCGUGGGGAUCGAACAGGAUUAGAUACCCGUGUAGUC